UGUGGCCCAGCCGCUAGAGGCUGCGGUAAGGUGGCUGUAAAUGGCGGCGAGAACAGCCCCAGAACCGGGAUUGUACCGGGAAUCCGGUACCCGCCCAGCGGAGCUCUGACAAACGCUGCCAGGGUGAACCCAGCAGCCACAGCUUCCCUCUGGGGGAGCUCCCAGUGUUGUCCCUCAAGUGGGAUUGUUUACCCGGUGUGCAACAGCAACCGCUGGUUGAAAAGUAGAACCCAAGGGGAAGAAAAGACACUGACUGCCAGCUUUGUGAAGGAACCUGUGUUUCUGAGCCUGUCUUGGAAAAUUUGACAUGUGGUAUGUUCCUGUUGGUGAUGUCAAACAUGAGAGGGACUUCAAUUGCCAUGUGCUAGAUGAGUUACAAUAAUAUUUCAACUGUUGCACACCCCUCCUCUACCAAAAUAUGCCGGGGCAUUACUUCGUAGUUCCUGGAUAGUGCAGUUUUUCAGAUUUUGAGCUGGUGCAAAACCUGUUGAAACCAACAGACUUCAUUAGUUUUUGAGGCCAGCUGCUUAUGGCUUGUUGGCAUGGCGUGAGGGAAGGACAGAAACUAUAGGGACUGUACAGAGCAUGGACAGACAUAGGAGGGGGAAAAAGAAAGCAUAUGGUCAAUAAACUGUUAAAAUUAGAUGAUUUACAUAAAAAGCUAUCUGAAAAUAGAAAACUGAAUCUACGUCCUGAACAGUGAUCAUACAGAGAAGAAAAAAGAAGGGUCAGUUUACUUACGUAUAGCUUUAGAAGUAAGAUGCUGCUGCUACAUUCUCCUUCUACUCUGCCAGUGUAAUGAAGAGUGAAGCACAUCCCUCGCAGCUGAGUCCUUCCACCUUCUUCCAAGCUGUGAGUCCCUCUUUCUUACCCACGAUCACAGUAAGCUGUCACAACACACAGAACACAAAUAGUUGUGAGGAGCUACACACACUCCACAAAGCAGAUGGCCUUUUCUUGAGAUACGGCCCCAGCUGGUUCAGCUGAGCUCAGCCUCUCCAACUUCACUGCACCUACAAUAACUUAUAUCAAGUUCAUGUGACUGUUACAAAAACCUGCUUAUGCUGUCUUGGACAUUAACAGAAAUCCUGCUCAGCUUUUUGCAGUCCCUAUACUGUGACUCUCUUGGUCAGCAGCACAGCAGGAGGCCAAGAUCUCCUUUAUCCCAUGCAGUAUGCUUGAUAUUCCAAUAUUGCAGCUUAUAUUCUGAUUUUAUACAUGCACUGAUUUAAAUAGAAGAGGCACACACAUAUAUAGGAAAGAGAAAUUAGAUGAUACAGUACUUCAGUGCUGCUGUGAACAUUCAUGUAGUUGCAUCAUGUUUUGUCUAGGUGGCUUCUGAUCAAACAUUAUACAUGCUGAGGAGGCAAAUGAUUCACAUGUUUUGUUAAGUUCCAAGCAAAGUACCUCUUCUCCUCCACUAUGUUAUUUUCACAAAUAUUCUUUGAAAGCAUUGUGAGAAACUUAAUUUUUUUUUUUGAUUCUACAUAAAUUUUCAAGUUACCUCUCAUAAAACAGUGGAGCUCCUAAGUCAUAGAAACACUUGCAGUAGAAGCAGCACGACUUUCGGCGUAGCAAUCUGGAAGGAAUCUUCAGGUGUGGACACAUUUUUCCCAGAGGAAGAAUACACAGUCCAAAACGAACCAGCACAUCAAAGGAGAAUGCUGGGCUGUUGAGAAGAAAACAUUGAUGGAAAAGAAACUAUUAAAAAAGAACUGCAGGAAUCUAGGAGAGAAGAGGUUUCACUGCCAGAACAAUUAUCAGUUAAGACCCUUGUAGUUCCUCAUGAAGUGCCAUUUGUAGAAAUGGGGGAGUCACUAUUGGAUUGCAUUAUUAAAGAAUCCCCCACAAAAGAUCCGUCUUAUUUUCUCACUCAGCCCCAUGGCUCUCCAUUCAAGAUAUAUCCAGGUUUUGGUACUAAGAAACACUUUUCUGGAGAGGGUAAUUUGAACUUGGCUAGCAAAACUCACAGUCCAGAAGAAGUCAUGGAAACGUUGGAAGCUGAUAAGGACUUUUUACUCCAGCAUUCCAAGAUAUCACUUGCUCACAAGGAAGACUAUAAACAAGGAGAUAGAAGCAAUAAAGGGAUUCUCUCCACUUAAAGAAGGGGGAGGCCCUGUCCAAGUCCUUAUGAAGCAUCCUCAGAUAUGUGCGGAACAAAAUAUUCCAAUUACCAUUUGGAAAAAUUAUCAUUUCAGGAGACAGUUAUGAACCUUAGAGGGGUCAUCAAGGAGCUAGAGGAGGCUCAGCAAUAACAAACCCAAAUCACAGAUCUUCAGUGUGAUGAUAUGGUUCUGAGGAAGGCUAAAGAUAGGGGAAAACUACUGUUUAAUGAAGAGAAUUUAGGUCUAGAUGAUGUGACUAAGAGGAUGAAGUAGAAUCAGAAGAAACAGCCAACACAGAUUAUUGAUUCUUACUAUGAAACCAUUUCUCUGAAGACCAAUUUAAAGAGUUAAAGCCAAAAAACAUCCAGCAACAGCAUUUGGGGAAAAAAAUAAGCAGAUUAAAGGAGGAUACUGAAGAUUGAAAUGAAACAAAAGGUAAAUUCAUGAAGGAGAAAAAUGAGGCUAAGAGAUGGCUGACAGUCACACAGGGAACUCUCUUUAGUGCGAUCAAGUGUAUUGAGGGUGCCGAGACAGAAAAAAAAGCCCUUCUGAAGCAUGUGGAAGAACUUAAAUCUGCAUAUUAUCUCCUUCAAAUAAAGCAUGAGACAGAAGUGAAGACCAGGUUUAGGAGACAGUGAU